rnacentral:rRNA from 1 species
AUUGAACGCUGGCGGCAGGCCUAACACAUGCAAGUCGAACGGUAACAGGAAGAAGCUUGCUUCUUUGCUGACGAGUGGCGGACGGGUGAGUAAUGUCUGGGAAACUGCCUGAUGGAGGGGGAUAACUACUGGAAACGGUAGCUAAUACCGCAUAACGUCUCAAGACCAAAGAGGGGGACCUUCGGGCCUCUUGCCAUCGGAUGUGCCCAGAUGGGAUUAGCUAGUAGGUGGGGUAACGGCUCACCUAGGCGACGAUCCCUAGCUGGUCUGAGAGGAUGACAAGCCACACUGGAACUGAGACACGGUCCAGACUCCUACGGGAGGCAGCAGUGGGGAAUAUUGCACAAUGGGCGCAAGCCUGAUGCAGCCAUGCCGCGUGUAUGAAGAAGGCCUUCGGGUUGUAAAGUACUUUCAGCGGGGAGGAAGGGAGUAAAGUUAAUACCUUUGCUCAUUGACGUUACCCGCAGAAGAAGCACCGGCUAACUCCGUG